AAAAAUAAAACUAAAAACUGGCUUCUACAUGUACAUAUACAAAAAAUAAAACAGGUUAGUUGUCACUUCUUUAUUCAUUGACGCAAUAAUAAUAAUUAUUGCCAGGCCAUAAAAAACACCAUUUGGCAAACUCGUUAUGAUAAACAACUUAAUAGCGAUUUCAAAGGUCUCCAAAAAACCCGUAUUUAAUUAUUUUACUAAAUUUAACGUUAAAUUGAGUACCAAUUAACUAAGGAAUUGGAAUUCUCAAACUGACCUGCCAUUAUUUCUUCCAAAAUUCUCCACCGUAAACACGCUGAUCACCUUUUCUGACUCCCUCUGACCCCGGUUAUCACCCACAUUCACCCUCAUUUUCACCAUAUUUAUUGCGUUCACCAAAUAAUUGCACAUAAGUACUUGACAACCCUGACGUCACAAUAUCGCGCUAACCCUCGAAUAAAUUUUAUCGGUUUUCCACGUGGUACCAGGCGAGCGAUUAAGAGAGACUGGCGUACCAAGUUGGACUAUCGCCGAUUGGUCGGCGGUACCGUUAUCUCGAAUCACAAGGGUAGAUCAUAUCAUAGAGAAGAUCUAAGGAUCACAUCAUACUGACCAAGGCAAAACGAACACGUUCACUUUAUGGCGGCAGCUUGGUGCCAGCAUACUAGAGAGAGAAAGAAGCUAUACCACGCGAGACGAAGAGUAUGAUGGAUAUGGAUGCUAUAGGUUUCUUUUGUUUCAUUAUGGUAUACUCGAAUUGCACCAAUCGUUAAAUUUAAAAUAGUGGAUGACAAUAUGGUUUUGCCUCGAGUUUUUUUAAUAUAAUUAUUAUGUCUUCUAUAUAUAUUUAAAUAUCAUUAUAAAGAAGCAA